rnacentral:tRNA from 1 species
GAGGGUAUAGCUCAGUAGUAGAGCACACGUGCAUGCACGAAGUCCUGGGUUCAAUCCCCAGUACCUCCA